UACGAAGGGGGCUAGCGUUGCUCGGAAUCACUGGGCGUAAAGCGCACGUAGGCGGAUUGUUAAGUCAGGGGUGAAAUCCUGGAGCUCAACUCCAGAACUGCCUUUGAUACUGGCGAUCUCGAGUCCGGGAGAGGUGAGUGGAACUGCGAGUGUAGAGGUGAAAUUCGUAGAUAUUCGCAAGAACACCAGUGGCGAAGGCGGCUCACUGGCCCGUACUGACGCUGAGGUGCGAAAGCCAGGGGAGCAAAGCGGG
rnacentral:rRNA from 1 species